rnacentral:tRNA from 32 species
UCCCCGGUAGCUCAGCGGUAGAGCGUUCGACUGUUAAUCGAAUGGUCGCCUGUUCGAAUCAGGCCCGGGGAGCCA